GAAUAAAUAUAUUAUUAGAUUGAUACUUACGAUGUGUAACAUGUUAUAAAUGCCAAGGCUGAGCUAUUUCCUGUUGACCCAUUUUUCAUGAUCUUUUUACACACCAGCCUAAAAAAUAUACCUAACAUUUUCUAGCCAUAGUUAAAAAGUACAGCUUGUCUGUAUAUAAUAAAUAAGUAAAUAAAUAAUUGUAUUAAGCGGAUACAGAUAUAUUUGUUCUGAACUUUGGAAAUUUAUUUAAAACGAAUCAAAUAUGCAGAUGCAUCUUCUUACUUACACGCCGGCUAAAAAUUGUAAAGCCGUGCAAAUUGAGGCUGUUGUAGCUAAUGCAUCUUUAACCGCUGUCGAAAUCAUGGUUCAAAUUGUACAUAGCAGUUCCAUAGAUUACCAUUCGUAAUUCGAAUUCAUAGGUUUAAUGUGCAAUUUACACGUUCGAGUAAUCAAGUUUUCUAAUGAAAGAAUGUCUCUGGACGAUAAAGCCUUACGCCAACUGAAAGUAAAUGCAAUAAUGCAUGUGACGCGCACAAUUCGAUCGACAUUAAAUCCUUCACCGAUAUUGACCCAGUUUCCAAACAUAUUCUUUAUAACGAUACGUAUACCGGAUUUUGUUAAUAAAAGACAUGAUUUUUACAAUUUUGUUCUUAAGACCUAAAAGUAAUCACCACGUUAGGACCGUAUCCAUUCAUCUUAGUUCCUUAUAAGUAUUUAUAGUACUUAUUUAUCUUUGUGUACAUAACCUCUCCUGGACAAAAGAUAGUGGAACCAACAUGAAACUCCGGAUUCACGUGUUGACCAGCCUUUUCAUUAAAGCUCCAAGCUCAUAUAAUUUUAGUCUUUAAUGGAAGAGAUUGAGCCUUAUAUGAAAAGACUUCGAUACGAAGAGGCACACUGGGAUGAUGCAAUACAUGCUUAUAGAGAAACAGAAAGAAAGCAGUGGAAUGAAAAUAAUUCAAAAAUAAUAA